rnacentral:rRNA from 1 species
UAGGGAAUCUUCGGCAAUGGGGGGAACCCUGACCGAGCAACGCCGCGUGAGUGAAGAAGGUUUUCGGAUCGUAAAGCUCUGUUGUUAAGGAAGAACGAGUGUGAGAAUGGAAAGUUCAUGCUGUGACGGUACUUAACCAGAAAGGGACGGCUAACUACGUGCCAGCAGCCGCGGUAAUACGUAGGUCCCGAGCGUUGUCCGGAUUUAUUGGGCGUAAAGCGAGCGCAGGCGGUUAGAAAAGUCUGAAGUGAAAGGCAGUGGCUCAACCAUUGUAGGCUUUGGAAACUGUUUAACUUGAGUGCAGAAGGGGAGAGUGGAAUUCCAUGUGUAGCGGUGAAAUGCGUAGAUAUAUGGAGGAACACCGGUGGCGAAAGCAGCUCUCUGGUCUGUAACUGACGCUGAGGCUCGAAAGCGUGGGGAGCGAACAGG